CAAGUCCUAAAAGAUGUCAGUCAAACACCAGCUGAGCUUCUAGACCUCCUUCUGUGGCCCUUCUUCUGAGCAAGUAUGCAAAUAAUACAGUCAGGCUCUAUCUCCUGCAAUUAGCACAAGGGAGGGCUGAGUAACUAACUGGGAAGACUUAGCCUUCUCCCUGUGGCUAGCUUGUAAGGCUUUGAAGUGUAACUUUUGUUUUGGUUUGCUUGCUUUCCCCCUGCGUAGAAAUUUUCCCUAAGGGAAAGGUGGGUCUAAAGUACCUUUAAAAUGAGUUUUCACUCCCUGAAUAAGGCUUGUAAAAGCUUGAGAGAAAAUGCCAGGAGAAAGCAUGGAAACUUUUUGGUGAUAAACUAUGGGCACAUAAUCAGCGGACAGCCGCUAACCCCAGUAGCUGCAUGCUUUCUGCCAUCUUCAUCUACCUGAGCAAAACUUCGGGAACAUGUUUAUGCUGAAUCUCCAGAGACAGCAAGAGAAGCCCAGCUUGGGGGAAAUGACUGGACCUUGAUUACUUAGGAUAAAAAGAGAUCAAUUUAUGGUAGGACUAUCUAUCUAUUUAUGUCUGCACAUUCAUCAGGUUUGCCUAGGAAAGGAGUCUGAGAAAAUGUGUUGGAAUUGGGCAUUUCUGAUGUCUAUCCUAUUCCCUGCCUUGUUUGAUAACACUUUCUCCAGUCCCCAGAUCUCAUUUUAGGAAAUGAGACUUGUUAGCAGGCGUCCUAGAGCCUCCAUAUUUUUCUGAGUCUUUCUGUGUCUGCCAGCUCCACUGAUGUUGUUACUAUUGCUGGUUUUCCUCUUCCUUCUAUUUUCUGUGAAAAUGCUUAGGAGUUUUUGAGAACUGGUGGCCACCAGAGAGGUUAAACAUUAUAAACAAUAUAAAGCAAAGGAAUCUUAGUGUGCUUUCUUUGGGGUGUGUCAUUGCUGUACAGCUUCUCUUUUAUCCCAAAAAACCGUAAUCAUCUUCUGGGGUGGGAGGGGUUGGAGGUGAAGGGAUGGCUAGUUGAGGUGGGGGCAAUUUGUGCUAUACCUGUCUCUGACAGUCUUUUAACUUUUCAUUUGUCUAUGCAAAUUUCUUGUAAAAGAGCUGUGUCCAGAACUGGUUCCUUCCAGUGGGUUCUUGGUCUCGCUGACUUCAAGCAUGAAGCCGUGGACCCUCGCAUUCCCUCGGUCUAAAAAAAAAAAAAGAAAAGAAAAGAAGAAAAGUCAGCCUUUAGGGUCAGCCUUCAGUGAACAGCGGCUGGACAUCUCAACAGCCUCAGCCCAGCCUUGGGCUUCUGCUGAGAUGCAAGCAUAAUGACCGGGAAUGUGAUCUGUCCCCAGCCAGAUGGUCAAUAGCUGGAAAUACUACUCCCUCCACGGAACAUUUUCAGUAGAGCCUCUUAAGACACAUGUUUUGGGAUGCAGUCAAAUGCGUGCUGCUGUAUGACCAGCCUAUUCGAUUAUGCCUCCAAAUCCUAUGGAAGUGUAACAACCAUAGAGCAGACAAAUACCAACAGCAUCAACAACAGAGAAACUCAGUCCAGGAGGAUAUGAAACCCUUUGUAAUAAAGAAAGCAACAGCCAUGAA